rnacentral:rRNA from 1 species
GACGAACGCUGGCGGCGUGCUUAACACAUGCAAGUCGAACGGAAAGGCCCUGCUUUUGUUGGGUUCUCGAGUGGCGAACGGGUGAGUUACACGUGAGUAACCUUCCCUUGACUUUGUGAUAACUUCAGGUAACUGGUUCUAAUACCGGAUAGGAUCUCCUUCUGCAUGGUGGUGGUUGGUAAGUUUCGGCGGUUGGUGAUGGAGUCGCGGCUUUUCAGCUUGUUUGUGGGGUAGUGGCUUACCAAGGCUUUGACGGGUAGCCGGCAUGUGAGGGUUACCGGCGACAUUGGGACUGAGAGACGGCCCAGACUCCUACGGGAGGAAGCAGUGGGGAAUAUUGCACAAUGGGAGGAAGCCUGAUGCAGAAACGCCGCGUGCGGGAUGACGGCCUUCGGGUUGUAAACCGCUUUCGCAUGUGACGAAGCGUGAGUGACGGUAAUGGGUAAAGAAGCACCGGCUAACUACGUG